GAUCAUGGCUCAGGAUGAACGCUAGCUACAGGCUUAACACAUGCAAGUCGAGGGGAAACGACAUCGAAAGCUUGCUUUUGAUGGGCGUCGACCGGCGCACGGGUGAGUAGCGCGUAUCCAACCUGCCCAUCACUUGGGAAUAACCUUGCGAAAGUAAGACUAAUACCCAAUGAUAUCCCACGAAGGCAUCCGAAUGGGAUUAAAGAUUUAUCGGUGAUGGAUGGGGAUGCGU
rnacentral:rRNA from 1 species